rnacentral:lncRNA from 1 species
CUAAAAACGUGAAAAUGGGUACAUAUGUAAAAACUUCCAAAGUAAGGUGUUAUAGACAAUCUGAUAUAAAAUUUCCUGAUAUACCAUGCAAAUCUUGUGACAGAAAUAACAAUUGCAAACUAAUUGCAAGUCGUAGUAAAGAUGUAUUAGCAUAUUGCUUCAUGGCUGGAGACACAGACACCAGUACUAUUGUGCAUAUAAUAAUAUGUUCUUUUAAAGACAUGUAUCCAUUACUCAAGGAAG